rfam:Candidatus Kerfeldbacteria bacterium RIFCSPHIGHO2_02_FTLL_42_14 rifcsphigho2_02_scaffold_75, whole genome shotgun sequence.
ACAGUAAGCCAGAUGAUCGCUCUGAAUCGACACAUGUGUGGAUUCAGAGAGGAAAGUCCGAACACCCGAAAUUGAAGAAGCGUUCCCCGAAGAUCAUGGGAGCAUGCAACUUUUUCAAUAGACCAAGAUAGUUGCUAACAGCAACCGGCUAUACGUUUUCUGAAUAGGGAAGCAAAGGCUAGGGAAAGUACCACAGAGACAAUACCGCUUUGGCGUAUCGCAAGGUUCGUCAGAGUAAGGGUGAAACGUGAGGGAGUAAGACCCCUCUCUCUGCCCAGCGAUGGAGCAGAGUGGUAAACCCUAUCUGGUGCAAGGGCAAAAUAUGGUAGCCCGCAUGACUGAAGCAGUAAUGCCUCAGCAAGAGAGAUGAUCAUCCUGCAAUGUUCAUACAUCGCAUGACAGAAUUCGGCUUAUAGGCUUGCUGGCCCC